GAUUUAUUUGAUAAUAUAUGUUAACGUGGUAAAGUUAUAUGUUGAUUAUUGAAUGGUAAUGAAAUGUUUAUCGUUUUUCAGUAUAGCUAGUUUAUUAGUGAUAAGUAUUUAAGUACUAUAGUGUUGUGUAAAUAAAAAUUUAUAUUUAAACAUUAGUUUAUUGUAUGAGGGAUAAGCUUUAUAUAAGAAUGUAGAAUAUUUAGUAGUAAUAUUUAUUAUAAUUUAAGUAGGGUUAAAGAUAUUGUUUUUCUUAAUGAUUUAAGUUUUAUGUAUGUAUAUGUAUUCAGGUAGAAGUUAAUAAAUGGUUAUUAAUGUAAGUAACUAAAUAUAAUGUUAAUAUGAGUAUUAGGUAAACAUAUUUAUAUGUUUGUGGUGGUUAUAAUUGUAAAUAGUUAUAAGUUUUGUAUAAGUAAAAUAAAAUAAAGGAAUUCGGCAAAUAGUAAUCUCGCCUGUUUAUCAAAAACAUCUCUCUUUGUAAUUUAUAUAUAAGGAG
rnacentral:rRNA from 1 species